UAGUCCACGCCGUAAACGAUGUCGACUAGCCGUUGGCAGGCUUGACCUGUUAGUGGCGCAGCUAACGCAAUAAGUCGACCGCCUGGGGAGUACGGCCGCAAGGUUAAAACUCAAAUGAAUUGACGGGGGCCCGCACAAGCGGUGGAGCAUGUGGUUUAAUUCGAUGCAACGCGAAGAACCUUACCAGGUCUUGACAUCCUGCGAAUUUUCUAGAGAUAGAUUAGUGCCUUCGGGAGCGCAGUGACAGGUGCUGCAUGGCUGUCGUCAGCUCGUGUCGUGAGAUGUUGGGUUAAGUCCCGUAACGAGCGCAACCCUUGUCCUUAGUUGCCAGCACAUUAUGGUGGGAACUCUAAGGGAGACUGCCGGUGACAAACCGGGAGGAAGGGUGGGGGACGACGUCAAGUCAUCAUGGCCCUUAC
rnacentral:rRNA from 1 species